rnacentral:rRNA from 1 species
GGGGAAUAUUGGACAAUGGGCGAAAGCCUGAUCCAGCAAUGCCGCGUGAGUGAUGAAGGCCUUAGGGUUGUAAAGCUCUUUUACCCGGGAUGAUAAUGACAGUACCGGGAGAAUAAGCCCCGGCUAACUCCGUGCCAGCAGCCGCGGUAAUACGGAGGGGGCUAGCGUUGUUCGGAAUUACUGGGCGUAAAGCGCGCGUAGGCGGCUAUUCAAGUCAGAGGUGAAAGCCUGGUGCUCAACACCAGAACUGCCUUUGAAACUAGAUAGCUAGAAUCACGGAGAGGUCAGUGGAAUUCCGAGUGUAGAGGUGAAAUUCGUAGAUAUUCGGAAGAACACCAGUGGCGAAGGCGACUGACUGGACGUGUAGUGACGCUGAGGUGCGAAAGCGUGGGGAGCAAAC